GAUGAACGCUGGCGGCGUGCCUAAUACAUGCAAGUCGAGCGAAUGGAUUAAGAGCUUGCUCUUAUGAAGUUAGCGGCGGACGGGUGAGUAACACGUGGGUAACCUGCCCAUAAGACUGGGAUAACUCCGGGAAACCGGGGCUAAUACCGGAUAACAUUUUGAACCGCAUGGUUCGAAAUUGAAAGGCGGCUUCGGCUGUCACUUAUGGAUGGACCCGCGUCGCAUUAGCUAGUUGGUGAGGUAACGGCUCACCAAGGCAACGAUGCGUAGCCGACCUGGGAGGGUGAGCGGCCACACUGGGACUGAGACACGGCCCAGACUCCUACGGGAGGCAGCAGUAGGGAAUCUUCCGCAAUGGACGAAAGUCUGACGGAGCAACGCCGCGUGAGUGAUGAAGGCUUUCGGGUCGUAAAACUCUGUUGUUAGGGAAGAACAAGUGCUAGUUGAAUAAGCUGGCACCUUGACGGUACCUAACCAGAAAGCCACGGCUAACUACGUGCCAGCCGCCGCCGUAACAC
rnacentral:rRNA from 1 species